CCAAGCUACUAAGGGUGAACGGUGGAUGCCUUGGCGCUAAGCGGCGAUGAAGGACGCGGCAAGCUGCGAUAAGCCACGGGGAGCGGCAAACACGCUUUGAUCCGUGGAUCUCCGAAUGGGGAAACCCAGCGGGAGUCAUGUCCCGCUACGGCGAUCUGAAUACAUAGGGUCGUCGAGCAAACUCCGGGAAGUGAACCAUCUCAGUACCGGAAGGAAAAGAAAGCAAUUGCGAUUCCGUCAGUAGCGGCGAGCGAACGCGGAACAGCCCAAACUCGAGAGCCUCCGGGCUCUCGGGGGUUGUGGGGCGGAGUCCGGAUCAGAUCCGGAGAGUUACCAAAUGCGCACCUAGAAGAACGGCUUUGGAAUAGCCGGCCAAAGAGGGUGAUAGCCCCGUAUUCGAAAGGUGUCGCGUCUCUCGACUCCGUUCCCGAGUACCACGAGGCACGAGAAACCUCGUGGGAAUCCGGGAGGACCAUCUCCCAAGGCUCAAUACGUCUUAGCGACCGAUAGUGAACUAGUACCGUGAGGGAAAGGUGAAAAGAACCCCUGUUAGGGGAGUGAAAUAGUACCUGAAAUUGUGUGCUUACAAACUAUGGUAGUCCUCGACGCGCAAGCGUCGCAGGAUGGCCGUUUGCCUUUUGCAUAAUGAGUCCGCGAGUUACGGUAGGCAGCCAGGUUAACCCCGAUAAAUCGGGGGGAGCCGCAGCGAAAGCGAGUGUGAAUAGCGCGAAUCAGUUGCCUGCUGUAGACCCGAAACCGGGUGAGCUACCCAUGGUCAGGCCGAAUCCUCAGUAACAUGAGGUGGAGGGCCGAACUAGUGACCGUUGAAAAGGUCUUGGAUGAACUGUGGGUAGGAGCGAAAGACUUAUCAAACUCGGUGAUAGCUGGUUCUCUUCGAAAUAGCUUUAGGGCUAGCCUGCAUCAAUGCUCGAAGUGGUGGUAGAGCACUGAAUGGUAUAGGGUCCUUACCGGGAUACCAAAGCCAAUCAAACUCCGAAUACUACUUCAGUCAGAUGUGGAGUCAGACUCUGGGGGAUAAGCUUCAGAGUCGAAAGGAAAACAGUCCAGCCCGCCGGCUAAGGCCCCAAAAGUUGGUUAAGUGACUAAGGAUGUAAGAUUGCAAAGACAGCGAGGAUGUUGGCUUAGAGGCAGCCAUCAUUUAAACAGUGCGUAAUAGCUGACUCGUCGAGUGAUCUUGCGCCGAAAAUGAUCGGGACUAAAUCAACUGCCGAAGCCGCGGAUGCCAUCCCGUUUAGGCGGGAUGGCGUGGUAGAAGAGCGUUCCAUUUGGAGUGAAGCGGGAGGGGAACCGACCGUGGACCGGAUGGAAGUGAUUAUGCGGACAUGAGUAACGAAAAGUCCGAUGGAAAUUCGGACCGCCGUAAUCCUGAGAUUUCCUGGGGAAGGUUCGUCCACCCAGGGUUAGCCGGCCCCUUAGCCAAGGCCGAAAGGCGUAGGUGAUGGGAAACAGGUUCAAUAUUCCUGUGCCGCCGGUCUGACGUUUGAGCGAGGGAGUGACGCAGUAGGCUAAAUCAGCCAUCGACUGGAAGUGAUGGCCGAAACCUUUAGAGGGCCCUGGUCGGCAAAUCUGCCGGGGCAUUAACCUUGAGAGGCGUAAGGACGCUGAGUAGCGAUACAAGGCGGAUUGAUUGAUGUCACACUGACAAGAAAUAGCUUCUAAGCGAGUCAGGCAGGCGACCGUAUUCAAACCGACACAGGUGGGAUGGUAGAAUAUACCAAGGCGCGCGAGAUAAACCUCGUUAAGGAACUCGGCAAAUUAGCCCCGUAACUUCGGAAGAAGGGGUCCUUUCCAGUGUAAUCGCAAGAAAGCAUAGGGAAGGCGCAGUGAAAUGGCCCAGGCGACUGUUUAACAAAAACACAGCACUCUGCGAACUCGUAAGAGGAUGUAUAGGGUGUGACACGUGACCAAUGCCGAAAGGUUAAGGCAAGGGGUUAGCCGCAAGGCAAAGCUCUGAACUGAAGCCCCGGUGAAUGUCGGCCGUAACUAUAACGGUCCUAAGGUAGCGAAAUUCCUUGGCGGGUAAGUUCCGUCCUGCACGAAUCGUGUAACGAUCUGGGCACUGUCUCAACGAGGAUCUCGGUGAAGUUGUACUUCCGGUGAAAAUGCCGGAUACCCGCAGUAGGACGGAAAGACCCCGUGAACCUUUACUGUAUUCUGAUAUUGGAUCUCGGUUUUUCAUAUGUAGCAUAGCUGGGAGACGGCGAAGUUCCGGCGCUAGCCGGAAUGGAGUCAACAGUGAAAUACCAGUUUUGAAUAAUUAAGAUUCUAACCCCUUUCCCGUGAAUCCGGGAGGGGAACAGUGUUAGAUGGUCAGUUUGACUGGGGCGGUUUCCUCCCAAAUGGUAACGGAGGAGUUCGAAGGUUCUCUCAUCAUGGUUGGCAAUCAUGAGUAGAGCGUAAGGGUAGAAGAGAGCUUAACUGCGAGACCUACAAGUCGAGCAGGUGCGAAAGCAGGACCUAGUGACCCGGUGGUUGCUUGUGGUAGCGCCAUCGCUCAUCGGACAAAAGGUACUCCGGGGAUAACAGGCUGAUCGCUGCCAAGAGUUCACAUCGACGCAGCGGUUUGGCACCUCGAUGUCGGCUCAUCGCAUCCUGGAGCUGUAGAAGGUUCCAA
rnacentral:rRNA from 1 species